GACGAACGCUGGCGGCGCGCCUAACACAUGCAAGUCGAACGAGAGGUGAGGAGCUUGCUCUUCAAAUCGAGUGGCGAACGGGUGAGUAACGCGUGAGGAACCUGCCUCAAAGAGGGGGACAACAGUUGGAAACGACUGCUAAUACCGCAUAAGCCCACGGCUCGGCAUCGAGCAGAGGGAAAAGGAGUAAUCCGCUUUGAGAUGGCCUCGCGUCCGAUUAGCUAGUUGGUGAGGUAAUGGCCCACCAAGGCGACGAUCGGUAGCCGGACUGAGAGGUUGAACGGCCACAUUGGGACUGAGACACGGCCCAGACUCCUACGGGAGGCAGCAGUGGGGAAUAUUGCACAAUGGGGGAAACCCUGAUGCAGCGACGCCGCGUGGAGGAAGAAGGUCUUCGGAUUGUAAACUCCUGUUGUUGAGGAAGAUAAUGACGGUACUCAACA
rnacentral:rRNA from 1 species